GUUAACAGUCAGGCUGAGCCUUCAUCUGGUCAGGAUGGAUCUUCCUAUUAGGUCAAGUUGCAGGGGGCUUUAUUGAACGACACCCCAAAUAAAGGACAGAGUAUAGAUCCUGACCAGCAGAAGACCAUUUUUUAAAUCCUGACACCCUCUGAGCUUGCUCAGCAGAGGAGAGCAGCAAGCCACGGAAGAAAAGACUUGGUUUCCACACCCACCCCUGGAAUGAGAAAUGGACAACACUCGUCUGUCUCUUUCAAUUGCAUGCUUUUCAAAAAAAUAAAAUAAAAAUAUGGCUGGCAAGACAACCAGAUGCUCUUGGCGGGUGGUAUUUGGCUCCGCAGCAUUUUUAACUAAAACGUACUCAAGCAAAAAUGCAGCAGGGACUGUUCUAAAUCCAACGCCUGGAUUUUUACUGGAAGCAGGCUUUGACUGUCUGCAUGCAUAAAUAAAAGAGAGGAUUCCUUCUAUUAAAGGGGGAAAAGCAGAGUGUUGAAACAUGCCCUCACACUGGCUAAGUGAUUGAAGACUCUGGCAGCUAAAGAGUUAAGGAUAUUUGAAGGAAUAGACAACCCUUCCAUCUGGAAGAGAUUUGAAGAGAUGUAUCUAUAAAAGAUACCUUCCUAGACAUUAACUGAUCCAUAUGACCUGAAAUGUAUAUCUAGAACCAAGAAAGCAGUGGUAGCAGAGCGCCUCCAUUGCUUUGCCUCUGUCCUGU